rnacentral:rRNA from 1 species
UACGGGGGGGGCAAGCGUUGUUCGGAAUUACUGGGCGUAAAGGGCUCGUAGGCGGCCAACUAAGUCAGACGUGAAAUCCCUCGGCUUAACCGGGGAACUGCGUCUGAUACUGGUUGGCUUGAGUGUGGGAGAGGGAUGCGGAAUUCCAGGUGUAGCGGUGAAAUGCGUAGAUAUCUGGAGGAACACCGGUGGCGAAGGCGGCAUCCUGGACCAUUACUGACGCUGAGGAGCGAAAGCCAGGGGAGCGAACAGG